UCUUCGGAUGCUGACGAGUGGCGAACGGGUGAGUAAUACAUCGGAACGUGCCUAGUAGUGGGGGAUAACUACUCGAAAGAGUAGCUAAUACCGCAUGAGAUCUACGGAUGAAAGCAGGGGAUCGCAAGACCUUGUGCUACUAGAGCGGCUGAUGGCAGAUUAGGUAGUUGGUGGGGUAAAGGCUCACCAAGCCAGCGAUCUGUAGCUGGUCUGAGAGGACGACCAGCCACACUGGAACUGAGACACGGUCCAGACUCCUACGGGAGGCAGCAGUGGGGAAUUUUGGACAAUGGGCGAAAGCCUGAUCCAGCAAUGCCGCGUGCAGGAUGAAGGCCCUCGGGUUGUAAACUGCUUUUGUACGGAACGAAAAGCUCUGGGCUAAUAUCCCGGAGUCAUGACGGUACCGUAAGAAUAAGCACCGGCUAACUACGUGCCAGCAGCCGCGGUAAUACGUAGGGUGCAAGCGUUAAUCGGAAUUACUGGGCGUAAAGCGUGCGCAGGCGGUCAUGUAAGACAGAGGUGAAAUCCCCGGGCUCAACCUGGGAACGGCCUUUGUGACUGCAUGGCUAGAGUACGGUAGAGGGGGAUGGAAUUCCGCGUGUAGCAGUGAAAUGCGUAGAUAUGCGGAGGAACACCGAUGGCGAAGGCAAUCCCCUGGACCUGUACUGACGCUCAUGCACGAAAGCGUGGGGAGCAAACAGGAUUAGAUACCCUGGUAGUCCACGCCCUAAACGAUGUCAACUGGUUGUUGGGUCUUAACUGACUCAGUAACGAAGCUAACGCGUGAAGUUGACCGCCUGGGGAGUACGGCCGCAAGGUUGAAACUC
rnacentral:rRNA from 1 species